rnacentral:rRNA from 1 species
GGGUGCCCUAGAGGCCCUGCGGGGCCGCGCUUGCAAUAACCGGAAGGCCAGGAUCGUGUCCCCACCCCUUCCCCCCUUUCCGGGGUGGGGCAUCCCCCCUCACGAACACUUUCCUGGAGCGCGGCUGUCUGAAUCCUUUGUCUAUGCGUACUCUCUCGUUUGCUCCCUCGGCGGGUCACCCGUCGUUGGGUUAGCUUCCCACACCCUUUUGCAGUGGCAGUAUACUUCUGAUGUUGGCAUGAAUCGUUACAACUUUCAACAACGGAUCUCUUGGUUCUGGCAUCGAUGAAGAACGCAGCGAAAUGCGAUAAGUAGUGUGAAUUGCAGAAUUCAGUGAAUCAUCGAAUCUUUGAACGCACAUUGCGCCCCUUGGUAUUCCAUGGGGCAUGCCUGUUCGAGCGUCAUUGACACCCUCAAGCUCUGCUUGGUGUUGGGGCCGUUGUCGUUUCCCCGCCCCUCCCGGCGACACAGCGACACCCCUCAAAGUCAUUGGCGGCCUUUCUGCCCGGCUCCCCGCGCAGCAGUUAGCGCUUCGGAGAUCCCUGGGCAGGCUGGCAUCCAUCAAGCUGACCCCUUUUACGCUUGACCUCGGAUCAGGUAGGGACACCCGCUGAACUUAAGCAUAUCAAUAAGCGGAGGAAUA